UUCCUACGGGAGGCAGCAGUGAGGAAUAUUGGACAAUGGAGGCAACUCUGAUCCAGCCAUGCCGCGUGCAGGAAGACGGCCCUAUGGGUUGUAAACUGCUUUUAUACGGGAAGAACCACAUCUACGUGUAGAUGCUUGACGGUACCGUAUGAAUAAGGACCGGCUAACUCCGUGCCAGCAGCCGCGGUAAUACGGAGGGUCCAAGCGUUAUCCGGAAUCAUUGGGUUUAAAGGGUCCGUAGGCGGAAUAAUAAGUCAGUGGUGAAAGUCUGCAGCUCAACUGUAGGAUUGCCAUUGAUACUGUUGUUCUUGAAUUAUUAUGAAGUGGUUGGAAUAAGUAGUGUAGCGGUGAAAUGCAUAGAUAUUACUUAGAACACCUAUUGCGAAGGCAGAUCACUAAUAAUAUAUUGACGCUGAGGGACGAAAGCGUAGGUAGCGAACAGGAUUAGAUACCCUGGUAGUCUACGCCGUAAACGAUGGUUACUAGCUGUCCGGCCUAAUUGAGGGCUGGGUGGU
rnacentral:rRNA from 1 species